UCAGGCUCAGUCCCCUCCCGAUAAACCCCUAAAUAGGGACUUUCCCGGGGGGUGAGCCUGGCU
rnacentral:pre_miRNA from 1 species